ACCCCUGCAGUGGCUCCCUGUCUCUGUGCUGGGGAGCCCAGAGCCGGACACAGCACCCCAGCCGUGCCUCACUAGGGCCGGGCAGAGGGGCAGGAUCCCCUCCCUGACCCGCUGCCAGCGCCCUCCCAACAGCCGCAGGCUGCCCCCGGGCCGGGCUGUGCCGCGCACCCGCCUCGUCCCCGCUCCGGAACCGCUCCAGGGCGAGCUGCACCGCCAUUUCCACCACCUCGUCCACGCCGACCUCCCUGAGGGCCUCGGCCCGGGCGCGCCCCGCGGCGCCGGCAGCCCAGUCCCCCGCAGCCCCGCCGGGCUGCCGCCGCAGAACCCGCCUGUGUCGCGACAUGGCCCCGACACGGCCCCACACGGCCCCACACGGAUCGGGGGCCGCAGCUGCUCGGCCCGAGGGGCGACGCUGGCGGCGGGCGGGGCCUGCGUGGAGUCACCCACAGCCCCGUCGGCCCGAAGGGAAGGAAAUUGGCUCUUUUCCCGACGGUAGGGCCAAGCCUGCCUAGUACCGAGGGCUCGGGAUUGAAGGCUGCUGCUUUGGAAACAUCAUCGGUCAGAAGGAGAGUACUUGGAAGAAGAACAAACUACUCCUCCGUUUGAACAAACAUCCUCAGUUGUGAACUGAAGUGAGCAAUUAAAUAAAUAGAAGAUAAACACUCA